rnacentral:rRNA from 1 species
AAGACCUUGCGCUUUUGGAGCGGCCGAUGUCUGAUUAGCUUGUUGGUGAGGUAAAAGCUUACCAAGGCUUCGAUCAGUAGCUGGUCUGAGAGGACGGCCAGCCACACUGGGACUGAGACACGGCCCAGACUCCUACGGGAGGCAGCAGUGGGGAAUUUUGGACAAUGGGGGCAACCCUGAUCCAGCCAUGCCGCGUGAGUGAAGAAGGCCUUCGGGUUGUAAAGCUCUUUCAGCCGGAACGAAACGGUUACGGUUAAUACCCGUGACUACUGACGGUACCGGAAGAAGAAGCACCGGCUAACUACGUGCCAGCAGCCGCGGUAAUACGUAGGGUGCAAGCGUUAAUCGGAAUUACUGGGCGUAAAGCGUGCGCAGGUGGUUUUGUAAGUCAGAUGUGAAKUCCCCGGGCUUAACCUGGGAACU